rnacentral:misc_RNA from 1 species
GAGAGAGAGAGAGAGAGAUAAAAGGGUUAAUAAAAAAAAAUCCAAAAACCAUGUGUUUUUCCAAAUGAGGCUAUUUCUUCUAAAACUCUCUUUUAUUUAGUUGAGAUUAAUUAUGAACACCAACUUAACUAUUCAUCUAUCACUAACAAUUGUGUCUCAAACCAGUUCUUUUAUUUUGGAUUUUUUUGCCCAAAGAAAAAAAAAGUCAGGAUUUAUGGCACAAAACAGAAACUUAUUUCUAAAGAAGUCCACAUUAAGCUAUGGCUUAACAGACGACUGACAACAUUAUAAGCCUACAAAAAUGACUCCUCUGUUUUGCAACAUUCAAAAGCCAAAAUACCACAACAAUUUCAACCACACACCCUUCUUGCUUGACUUUCACAGGGAUAAAAUAUAUAUAUGUGUGUGUGUAUAUA